AGUGAACGCUGGCGGUAGGCCUAACACAUGCAAGUCGAACGGCAGCACAGUAAGAGCUUGCUCUUACGGGUGGCGAGUGGCGGACGGGUGAGGAAUACAUCGGAAUCUACUUUUUCGUGGGGGAUAACGUAGGGAAACUUACGCUAAUACCGCAUACGACCUACGGGUGAAAGCAGGGGUUCUUCGGACCUUGCCCGAUUGAAUGAGCCGAUGUCGGAUUAGCUAGUUGGCGGGGUAAAGGCCCACCAAGGCGACGAUCCGUAGCUGGUCUGAGAGGAUGAUCAGCCACACUGGAACUGAGACACGGUCCAGACUCCUACGGGAGGCAGCAGUGGGGAAUAUUGGACAAUGGGCGCAAGCCUGAUCCAGCCAUACCGCGUGGGUGAAGAAGGCCUUCGGGUUGUAAAGCCCUUUUGUUGGGAAAGAAAAGCAGCAGGUUAAUACCCCGCUGUUCUGACGGUACCCAAAGAAUAAGCACCGGCUAACUUCGUG
rnacentral:rRNA from 1 species